rnacentral:rRNA from 1 species
GACGAACGCUGGCGGCGUGCUUAACACAUGCAAGUCGAGCGGUAAGGCCCUUUCGGGGGUACGACGAGCGGCGAACGGGUAGAGUAACAACGUGGGUGGACCUCGCCCUCCAGCUCUGGGAGUAAAGCCGUCGGGAAACCGGGGUACCGUAAUAACUGGGAUAUGACUCCAUGACGCAUGUUGUGGGGUGGAAAGCCUUGUGCGGCUGAGGAUGGGCCC